UUGCUUUCAGAAAACCUUUAUUGUACAUCACAUCAUUGAAUUAAUUUCUGUUUGGAUAAAUAGCACACAAAACAAAGACUUACAUUGUGAAAAUCCCUGAAGCUUCUAAUCAGCAGUCUGCAAGGAGUGGAGACUGGUUUUGUGUCUUUUUAAGGCAUACAUUUCCCAUUUAUUUUUAAAUUUUGAACGUAAUUGUUUUCCAAAAUAUUUUUGAUGUCAGUUAUAGAACUUCUCCCCAUGAAACUGCGAUUAGUGACCCUGAAAUGCUACUCUUUUCUGUGAGAAUGAAUGUGCCCCCAAGGGACCUGGUGCAUCAUGUACUUUUCACAAGGCUGUGCAAGUAUCAAUAAAUCAAUCCUUGUGGGAUUGAAUAUGAAUUUGGUAUGCACUUUAAUUUUCAUAGAUAUAUAGAAUACUCUUUCAACUUUGUCUUUUAAUACUAUAGGAAAGGAGAAAACCUAUACAUGAGUACCAAAAAAUCUGAUCUUCUCCAGAAAUCAAAACAGUAUCAAAUAACAGUUGUCCUUCAGAACCAAAUAUGUGA
rnacentral:lncRNA from 1 species